rnacentral:rRNA from 1 species
GAUGAACGCUGGCGGCGUGCCUAAUACAUGCAAGUCGAGCGAACAGACGAGGAGCUUGCUCCUCUGACGUUAGCGGCGGACGGGUGAGUAACACGUGGAUAACCUACCUAUAAGACUGGGAUAACUUCGGGAAACCGGAGCUAAUACCGGAUAAUAUAUUGAACCGCAUGGUUCAAUAGUGAAAGACGGUUUUGCUGUCACUUAUAGAUGGAUCCGCGCCGCAUUAGCUAGUUGGUAAGGUAACGGCUUACCAAGGCAACGAUGCGUAGCCGACCUGAGAGGGUGAUCGGCCACACGGGAACUGAGACACGGUCCAGACUCCGACGGGAGGCAGCAGUAGGGAAUCUUCCGGAAUGGGCGAAAGCCUGACGGAGCAACGCCGCGUGAGGGAUGAAGGUCUUCGGAUCGUAAAACUCUGUUAGUAGGGAAGAACAAAUGUGUAAGUAACUAUGCACGUCUUGACGGUACCUAAUCAGAAAGCCACGGCUAACUACGUG